GCUGAAAAGGNCAGUCGAGCGAGCUUGCCUAGAUGAUUUUAGUGCUUGCACUAAAUGAAACUAGAUACAAGCGAGCGCCUUACGGGUGAGUAACACGUGGGUAACCUGCCCAAGAGACUGGGAUAACACCUGGAAACAGAUGCUAAUACCGGAUAACAACACUAGACGCAUGUCUAGAGUUUGAAAGAUGGUUCUGCUAUCACUCUUGGAUGGACCUGCGGUGCAUUAGCUAGUUGGUAAGGUAACGGCUUACCAAGGCAAUGAUGCAUAGCCGAGUUGAGAGACUGAUCGGCCACAUUGGGACUGAGACACGGCCCAAACUCCUACGGGAGGCAGCAGUAGGGAAUCUUCCACAAUGGACGAAAGUCUGAUGGAGCAACGCCGCGUGAGUGAAGAAGGGUUUCGGCUCGUAAAGCUCUGUUGGUAGUGAAGAAAGAUAGAGGUAGUAACUGGCCUUUAUUUGACGGUAAUUACUUAGAAAGUCACGGCUAACUACGUGCCAGCAGCCGCGGUAAUACGUAGGUGGCAAGCGUUGUCCGGAUUUAUUGGGCGUAAAGCGAGUGCAGGCGGUUCAAUAAGUCUGAUGUGAAAGCCUUCGGCUCAACCGGAGAACUGCAUCAGAAACUGUUGAACUUGAGUGCAGAAGAGGAGAGUGGAACUCCAUGUGUAGCGGUGGAAUGCGUAGAUAUAUGGAAGAACACCAGUGGCGAAGGCGGCUCUCUGGUCUGCAACUGACGCUGAGGCUCGAAA
rnacentral:rRNA from 1 species